rnacentral:rRNA from 1 species
AUUGAACGCUGGCGGCAGGCUUAACACAUGCAAGUCGAGCGAGCGGCGGACGGGCGAGUAAGGGAGGGGAAACUGGCUGAUGGAGGGGGAUAACUACGGGAAACGGUAGCUAAUACCGCAUACCAUCAGAUGUGCCCAUGUGGGAUUAGGUAGUUGGUGGGGUAAAGGCUCACCAAGGCGACGAUCCCUAGCUGGCCUGAGAGGAUGACCAGCCACACUGGGACUGAGACACGGCCCAGACUCCUACGGGAGGCAGCAGUGGGGAAUAUUGCGCCAUGGGCGCAAGCCUGAUGCAGCCAUGCCGCGUGUGUGAAGAAGGCCUUCGGGUUGUAAAGCUCUUUCAGUGACGAGGCGUUACUUACAGAAGAAGCACCGGCUAACUCCGUGCCAGCAGCCGCGGUAAUUC